UGUAAUUCACUGAUAAAGAAAUUUUUGAAUGAAAUUUCAUGUUGCUCAUUGGAAAUAGAAACAUAUUUUAAUCUUUUUGGAUUCUAUCAUCUUUUCUAUCUGGUUUUUGACUGAUUAUAUAUAUUCAACCUUUUGUGGAUGUAACCAAGGUGUUAUCCAAUUAAGCAUCUCAGCCCAGAAUUUCAACCUAUCAUCAACAAGGGUUGCCUGUAUGAAGAGUUCUAUGAAUGAUUAUUUGGCAGAAUCCUUUUGCCUAGAUAUAUUUCAGAUCACGUUUCCAUAGUCGCAAAAAUUGUGUUGCUUCAAAUACAAGAUAUUUUGAUUUUUCUAUCAUGAUACUUGUUAAUCUCCUUCUAAAGUUCUGUCAUGUUAUCUCACGACCGCACAAUAUCUUCUGGAGGAAAUAUAUACCAUAUGGCAACAAGAUGUGACAAGUCUCGAAACUACAUGUACUACAUAGACAUGAACAUGUGCCCAGUCAAAUUGAAUGCUUUUUUUUGGCGUCUACUGCAUAGACAGGAACUUGGUCUUGCAAUGAUAUAAAUCCAGAGAGAGGUGGUAAUGCAUGCAGAUGGAGAGUCAAAUGGGAUGAAAGUUAUGAUUUAUAGCAACAGCAGUCUCGAAUGGGCAGAGUGUAUCCUAUCUUAAACUCAGCUAGCUGCUUGACAUUGAGCUUUCCGUAUCUCUUCCUUUCUAUCAUCGAUCAUUGUCCCUCAUCUCAAUCUGCUUCUGGGACAGCAUAUCCUGAAUGCAAACGAACAAUAGUUGAACAUAUAAGAUGGAGAAUCCAAUAUCAAAGGAAAGUGGUUACUCGUAGCAAGAGUAAGUGCAAUUAUCGGCCUCAAUGAAAAAAGACACCUCCUUGUCAUCUCUAUCGGCAUUCAGUGAUUGAAUGGAGCAAAAAACGAGAAGUGUGUUCUACUCCAGCUGCUGUCCAUUCUACGCCAGCCACCAUCCAGCCUUUUUCCACCACCAUAUAUGUUUGAGGGAGAGGGAAAAACAAAGAGAAACGGAGAGGAAAUAUGAGUUUUUGAGUCUGUGAACAGUACAUCAUCAAAUCGUGAUCUAGAGCUCAUUUGCCGUCCGAUUGUCCUGAUUUUUGGAUAUGUUGUUCAUGAAACUCAAUUCUACUUUCUGAAUGGUGGAGAUUGAAAUCCAAGAACUGUAAGGCAAUUAAUUGUGGGUAAACCCGAAACUGCAGUUUUUUGUGUCUUUCGGGAUUAUUCUCUCCAUAAAUCGUGAUAUUUUGAACUUGUUUUUGCUGAGAUUGUUUGUGAUGGAUUUUUGAAGUUUAUGAUGUUUGUAUGCCUCUAGUUUGCACAGGAGAAGACUCUGUAUUCCCAUUUUUGAUGAUAGUGAAAGACUUUAAUCGGACUACGGUCCCGUGGUUUUUACUCCUCACAUCGGGGAGGUUUUCCACGUAAAAAUUUGGGUGUCAUUGAUCUUUAAUUUUCUGCAAAUAUUUGUAGCUUUUGAUUAUAUUCACUUAAGAAAGAAAAGGAAUUGUUGGAAGCCAUG